rnacentral:ncRNA from 2 species
GCGGCACGCGGUACCGUCUGUUCGAUAUCGACGACGGCGAGACGGAAGCCGGUGGGAAACCGGCACGGUCGCGCCACUGUGUGCGACGGCUCCCCGGAGCCGCUCGCGAGUCAGACCCGUGGCCGUCGUCCAGUGCAC